GCGUUCCUACGGGCGCAGCAGUGAGGAAUAUUGGUCAAUGGCCGGAAGGCUGAACCAGCCAAGUCGCGUGAGGGACGACUGCCCUAUGGGUUGUAAACUUCUUUUAUAAAGGAAUAAAGUGAGGCACGUGUGCCUUUUUGUAUGUAUUUUAUGAAUAAGGAUCGGCUAACUCCGUGCCAGCAGCCGCGGUAAUACGGAGGAUCCGAGCGUUAUCCGGAUUUAUUGGGUUUAAAGGGAGCGUAGAUGGGUUGUUAAGUCAGUUGUGAAAGUUUGCGGCUCAACCGUAAAAUUGCAAUUGAUACUGG
rnacentral:rRNA from 1 species